rnacentral:lncRNA from 12 species
CUGAGGGCACCGAGUCCACAAAUCUGCAGCUGCCCAUCCCAGUUCAGGCAAGUUCUCUCUCCAAUCCUACACUCGUAUCAGUGCCCCCAAAGGAAGGGGCUCUUUCUGUUGUCAUUGCCAUGAUUUCGGUGCCAGUACUGAGUUUGUGACGUUAAGAACACACCCAAACGCGUUCGCAAGGGAUCAUACACUUCAAUAAGAAAUUGCCGUUUGUGGAUGGCUUCACAUUGUGGAUGUCACUUUACUUAAUGCUUCACAAACAAGCCGGAGACUUAACAAGAUUGUCUCCAUCUUGCACCAAAGAAGUGGAGAGGUGGGCGCGGGGAGUCGCGAGCCACGGCCACACGGGUCCCAUGCUGCGCGUCUGUCGGUUUCUCCACAUUGUUCAGGCCAAAGACACAGACAUCUCCGCUUGUGACCACAGGGGGAGGAAAGUCGGGCGUGGAUGUGCCGACCUCGCUGGUGGGGCCUGGAGUCCUGCGCGUGCCACGGGCCUCCAGCGGGAACCACCAGCCACGCCUGGUGCACAGGCUGGCCAAAGACGAAUCACAGGAACACAUACAAAGGGGGGCGUUGUGGGGGGAACCCCAACUCCACCGAAGCGCUUGGCAGGCUGCACCGUGAUGAUCACAAGACAGGUGCACAGAGGCACAACCGGGUCAAGGCUGCGAUCGUACUUGGCCCAUCCACCUUCCAGGGCCGGGCCGGGCCAUGAGCCUCCUGCCGCCAGAGGAGGAGGGCAGUACGGGGCACACCCAGACGGGUUCCCCAGGGCACACACGAGGUGGCGUACACAACUCCCGGGGGCCAGGUGUCCGAAAUCCGGGUGUGGGCAGCACCGUGGUGUCCCUUGGAAGGCCCAGCAGGAGCACCCAUCACUGGGUCUCAGCUCGUGGUGGUGCCCACCUUCCCAGGGGCCCCGUGGCCUCCAGACACAGCACCCGACCUCUGCCCCCGUGCAUCCCUCUGCCUGCCCCAUGCCCACUCAUCCUAGGGGGACACCAGUCACUACACUGCGGUCCCUCCGACACCAGGGACUCACCCCAACUGGGUCACUUUUGCAAAGACCUCAUUUCCGACUAAGGUCACACUCAGAGUUUCUGGGGCCUGGACGCCAACGUAUCUUUUGGAAAACACAGUUCGGCCCGUACAUCACUGAACACACGCUGAGGAUGGGACAGGCCACCGGGAGUAAUAUCGAUGCGUGUUAUUAAAUUAUGAGAUGGGAUAAGCCCAUUAACAUGUUACAUACCCUAUUUUCACGAUAAAGCCUAAUCGCUGCAUUAUAAUAACUUUGCCAAAAGAAUGGUCAGCAAGAAUUAAUCUCAAGAUCAAUAACCUCAGAAGUACUUGUAAUUCAAAUGAACUCUUAAUUCUACUGACGCAGGACUCAGCUAACCUGACACGUGGCGGAUCCAGUUCAGCAAAAACACACUUGUGAUGUGGAGUCAGA